rnacentral:rRNA from 1 species
AGUGAACGCUGGCGGCGUGCUUAACACAUGCAAGUCGAACGAGAACGGGCUAUAGCUUGCUAUAGUUGUCAGCUAAGUGGCGCACGGGUGAGUAAUGUAUAGGUAAUAUGCCUCUUACUAAGGGAUAACAAAUGGAAACGUUUGCUAAUACCUUAUACUCCUUAUUAACCGAAGUUAAUAAGGGAAAGAUUUAUUGGUAAGAGAUUAGCCUGUAUUGUAUCAGUUAGUUGGUGGGGUAAUGGCUUACCAAGACUAUGACACAUAACUGGUUUGAGAGGAUGGUCAGUAACACUGGAACUGAGACACGGUCCAGACUCCUACGGGAGGCAGCAGUGGGGAAUAUUGCACAAUGGACGAAAGUCUGAUGCAGCAACGCCGCGUGGAGGAUGACACAUUUCGGUGCGUAAACUCCUUUUAUAUGAGAAGAUAAUGACGGUAUUAUAUGAAUAAGCACCGGCUAACUCCGUGCCAGCCGCCGCGGUAA